GAUGAACGCUGGCGGCGUGCUUAACACAUGCAAGUCGAACGAUGAAGCCCAGCUUGCUGGGUGGAUUAGUGGCGAACGGGUGAGUAACACGUGAGUAACCUGCCCUUAACUCUGGGAUAAGCCUGGGAAACUGGGUCUAAUACCGGAUAGGAGCGUCCACCGCAUGGUGGGUGUUUGAAAGAUUUAUCGGUUUUGGAUGGACUCGCGGCCUAUCAGCUUGUUGGUGAGGUAAUGGCUCACCAAGGCGACGACGGGUAGCCGGCCUGAGAGGGUGACCGGCCACACUGGGACUGAGACACGGCCCAGACUCCUACGGGAGGCAGCAGUGGGGAAUAUUGCACAAUGGGCGCAAGCCUGAUGCAGCGACGCCGCGUGAGGGAUGACGGCCUUCGGGUUGUAAACCGCUUUCAGUAGGGAAGAAGCGAAAGUGACGGUACCUGCAGAAGAAGCACCGGCUAACUACGUG
rnacentral:rRNA from 1 species